rnacentral:rRNA from 1 species
UCACUUCUGGAUGGUCCCGCGGCGUAUUAGCUAGAUGGUGGGGUAACGGCUCACCAUGGCAAUGAUACGUAGCCGACCUGAGAGGGUAAUCGGCCACAUUGGGACUGAGACACGGCCCAAACUCCUACGGGAGGCAGCAGUAGGGAAUCUUCCACAAUGGACGAAAGUCUGAUGGAGCAACGCCGCGUGAGUGAAGAAGGGUUUCGGCUCGUAAAACUCUGUUGUUAAAGAAGAACAUAUCUGAGAGUAACUGUUCAGGUAUUGACGGUAUUUAACCAGAAAGCCACGGCUAACUACGUGCCAGCAGCCGCGGUAAUACGUAGGUGGCAAGCGUUGUCCGGAUUUAUUGGGCGUAAAGCGAGCGCAGGCGGUUUUUUAAGUCUGAUGUGAAAGCCUUCGGCUCAACCGAAGAAGUGCAUCGGAAACUGGGAAACUUGAGUGCAGAAGAGGACAGUGGAACUCCAUGUGUAGCGGUGAAAUGCGUAGAUAU